UGUAACAAUUUAUUAAUUUUCCAUUGAAAUAUAACAUAGCCAAGAAAACAAGAAAAAUAAAAAAGGUACAGAGAAGAAAAAAAGAAUAUAGAAAGUUAAACAAAUUACUAGUUAUGAGAAAGAAAAAAACAUGAAGAAUGCGGAGAUACAAAAAAAAUACUAGCAAUUAUAUCCAGAUUCUUCUUUUUUCUUCUCAUUCUUUGCAUCUUCUUUUUUCAUCUUCAAUCUCUAUCGAUUUUCCUCCACAUUUCAAAUCACUCUUGUCGUGUCUUCAUAUAUCUCUGAAUUAUUCUGAUCCUAAUAGAGAAUGAUUAUUAAGACAUAAACAAAAAAUAUAAGAACUUGUAGUUUUCAAAAAGUUUGAGAAUAGAGAAAGAAAAAAGAAAUAAUACCUCUCAAAAGUUUAAUCAGAGUCGUUUGAUUAGCAAACUUCAGCAAUCUUUAAACCCUUUCAUGAAAAGAAACGCAUUUGUCAUCGUGACUCAUAUAAUGCUUGAUAUUGUUGAAAUCUGUUUCUGAUCAAAUAACCAAAACAACAAAUUUUAAGCUCUGAACAAAAGUUUAAGAAACUGAAACAGAGAAAAGAUGAAAAAGAGACGAAGAUGAAAAUAUUGAAGUGAAACAGUUAUAGAAAAUUAUGAUCCAGUAAAAUUAAAGCUAACAAAAAAU
rnacentral:lncRNA from 1 species